CGGAGGCUACCGCUAUUGGAGUUCGAUUAAGCCAUGCGAGUCGUGAGUCUUAGGGACUCGGCGUACCGCUCAGUAACACGUGGGUAACCUGCCCUAUGCUGGGGAAUAACCUCGGGAAACUGAGAAUAAUGCCCCAUAGUUCACCACGCCUGGAACGGUGGGUGGAUGAAAGCUCCGGCGGCAUAGGAUGGGCCUGCGGCGUAUCAGGUCGUAGGGGGUGUAAAGUACCCUCUAGCCAUCGACGCGUACGGGUGUUGGGAGACAUUGCCCGGAGAUGGAUUCUGAGACACGAAUCCAGACCCCACGGGGUGCAGCAGGCGCGAAAACUUGGCAAUGCGAGCAAUCGUGACCAGGGAACUCCAAGUGCAUCGGGUAAGACCGAUGCUUUUCUUGACUCUUCAACGGUCUUGGAAUAAGGGGUGGGUAAGGACGGUGCCAGCCGCCGCGGUAAUACCGGCGCCUCAAGUGGUAGUCGCUUUUAUUGGGCCUAAAACGUCCGUAGCCGGUUUGGUACAUUCGUGGGUAAAUCAAGGCGCUCAACGUCUUGAAUUCUGCGAGCACGGCCAGACUUGGGACCGGGUGAGGUGUGGGGUACUCUCAGGGUAGGGGUAAAAUCCUGUCAUCCUGAGAGGACCACCUGUUGCGAAGGCGCCACACUAGAACGGAUCCGACGGUCAGGGACGAAGCCUAGGGGCACGAACCGGAUUAGAUACCCGGGUAGUCCUAGGUGUAAACGCUGUGGACUUGAUGUUGGGAGUGCUCCGAGCACCCUCAGUGUCGAAGCGAAGGUGAUAAGUCCACUGCCUGGGGAGUACGGUCGCAAGGCUGAAACUUAAAGGAAUUGGCGGGG
rnacentral:rRNA from 1 species